rnacentral:lncRNA from 1 species
AUGCCGUCUCGGGGAGGGUAACAAUAUGUGAAAGCCAAAUAGAAGCCAGCUGGACAGCACUGAAGGCUUGGAAAAGUGGCAAUAAAGUUACCUAAGAAUAAAAUGGAUGUUUUUAUUAAAUAAAUAGGAUGUAUUCCUAUGAAACGUGUGUAUUGAAAACUUGGGUUUUACCCAUAUGUUUAAUGUUAUAAAACAUGGUGGUUUACU